UGUUUCUUGUAUUUAAUUUGAGAUAAUGCCUGCCCACUGAGGAUUUAAAGGGCUGCGGUAUACUGACCGUACAAAGGUAGCAUAAUAAGUAGUUUUUUAAUUGGAGGCUUGAAUGAAAGGUUUUAUGAGAAACCAGCUGUCUUUAGAGUAGAAUUGGAAUUUAGGGUUUAGGUAAAAAUACCUAGAUAGAUAAGUGGGACGAGAAGACCCUAUAGAAUUUUAUUUUAAUAUAAUGGUUGGUAAAAUAAUGAAGGAUGAGAAUAAAAAGCAUUGAUGUUUAAAAUUUAAUUGGGGUGAUUUCAAAAUAAUUAACUUUUGAUUAUUUUAAUUAUUUAUUUAUAUAGAUUUGAUCCAUAUUAUGUUGAUUGUAAGAUAAAUUACCUUAGGGAUAACAGCGUAAUUUAUUCGGAAAGUUCAUAUUGAUGAAUUAGUUUGCGA
rnacentral:rRNA from 1 species